rnacentral:rRNA from 1 species
GGGGUGCAAACGACGUUGUAUAACGAGUGUCGGUAAAACGUCAGCGAGCUGAGUAUACUACUAGACACAUGUCAGAGCACAAUGUCGUAGAAAAUGUUCGUAUACCGUUGAACUAAGCUAUCAUAGGCGAAGAAAUGGAAGCUACAAGGAUUCCCCUAGUAACGGCGAGUGAAGAGGGAAGAGCUCAAAUUUGAAAUCUGGCGGCCUACGGUCGUCCGAGUUGUAAUCUAGAGAAGUGUUUUCCGUGCUGGACCGUGUACAAGUCCUUUGGAACAAGGCGUCAUAGAGGGUGAGAAUCCCGUCUACGACACGGACUACCAGUGCUUUGUGAUACACUCUCAACGAGUCGAGUUGUUUGGGAAUGCAGCUCAAAAAUGGGUGGUAAAUUCCAUCUAAAGCUAAAUAUGGGCGAAAGACCGAUAGCGAACAAGUACCGUGAGGGAAAGAUGAAAAGCACUUUGGAAAGAGAGUUAAACAGUACGUGAAAUUGUUGAAAGGGAAACGCUUGAAGUCAGUCGCGUCUUCAGAAACUCAGCCUGGCUUCUGCCUGGUGUACUUUUCUGUUGGACGGGCCAGCAUCAGUUUCGGCCGCCAGAAAAAGGUGGGAGGAAGGUGGCACCUCCGGGUGUGUUAUAGCCUCCUAUCGUAUGUGGCGGCUGGGACUGAGGAAUGCAGCACGCCUUUAUGGCCGGGGUUCGCCCACGUAACGUGCUUAGGAUGCUGGCGUAAUGGCUUUAAACGACCCGUCUUGAAACACGGACCAAGGAGUCUAACAUGCCUGCGAGUAUUUGGGUGGCAAACCCAUAUGCGGAAUGAAAGUGAAUUAGUUGGGACUUCUGUCAUGGAAGGCACCGACGCCCGGACCAGACCUACUGUGACGGAUCCGAGGUAGAGCAUGUAUGUUGGGACCCGAAAGAUGGUGAACUAUGCCUGAGUAGGGUGAAGCCAGAGGAAACUCUGGUGGAGGCUCGUAGCGAUUCUGAC